rnacentral:rRNA from 1 species
ACACGUAUGAAGGUCAAGCUGAAAGACUUUACUCAAUGAUGUAAGUGGUGGUGCAUGGUCGUUCUUAGUUCGUGGAUUGAUUUGUCUGGUCGAUUCCGAUAACGAGCGAGACCCCGGUGUUCCUAAUAGGGGUGGUAGCCAGUCUGGUCGAAAGGCCGGGUCAGCUGCCGCCUGAGAUGUACUUCUUAGACACAUCAGAGCCGAUAAGGUUCUUGAAAUGGGUUAAUAACAGGUCAGUCAUGCCCUUAGAUGUUCUGGGCCGCACGCGCGUUACAAUGGCAAGAAAAGAGAGUGCUCCAAAAGGCGUUUCCCGGGCCUAACGGUCCGGGUAACCCUUAGUCCCUGCUUUGACUGGGACAGAUCAUUGCAAUUAUUGGUCUCCAACGAGGAAUUUUUAGUAAGCACAGGUCAUUAACCUGUGCUUA